rnacentral:misc_RNA from 1 species
AACUCAGUGCUUUGUUCCAGGCUCGAAAUAAGAUGGACUGGGACACAUUCUCUAGAAAGGUGAAAUCAUGCCAAAGCGGAUUCAUGGGUGAACCUGAGGAAGUGAGACCGGGCCAUGGAGAGUUUCAUGAAUAUCCAUCCUCGUGUAUCUGUAAGACACCAUUCAAUCAUUCAAAUUUCAGAGAAAAAUACAACAAUCAUACUUCCAGUGUAAAUCCAAGUCUUCUGGAUUCAAGAUAUGAGUACAUACACAAUAUCAGUGACCUUGAUGAGAAGAUCUUG